rnacentral:rRNA from 1 species
AUGGUGCCACCAACCCACCAUCUCUUCCCUCCCACAGCUCAUCGCCGACGGCCUCUCCUCUCCCAUCCGCUUCCCUCCCACAGCACGCGGAAUGCCUCCUCCCUGAUCCAACGCACCGCCGCCUCCUCCCCGAUCCAGAUCCAAUGCGUCAUCGCCUCCUCCCUGAUCCAGAUCGACACGUCGGCUCUCUUACCUUGCUGGCAGGUUCCUCCGCCGUCGCUGCCCCCUCCUCCCCCUGCCUCGGCCAUCCUCCCUUCCGCCACCCCCGCCUGCUCCGCCUACUGCACCGCCGCCUCCGACGCCAUGUUGGACACGGACAGCAGUAGCAACCCGCUGCUCGCCGACUUCGACUUCCCACCCUUCAGCCGCGUCGAGCCCACACACGUACGCCCCGGGAUCCGCGUGCUCCAUGCCUGCCUCUUGAUUCUUGGGCUUGGACAUGGAGAGGUAGACUAG